rnacentral:rRNA from 1 species
AUUGAACGCUGGCGGCAUACCUUACACAUGCAAGUCGAACGGUAACGCGGGGCAACCUGGCGACGAGUGGCGAACGGGUGAGUAAUGCAUCGGAACGUGCCCAGAAGUGGGGGAUAGCCCGGCGAAAGCCGGAUUAAUACCGCAUGAGACCUGAGGGUGAAAGCGGGGGAUCGCAAGACCUCGCGCUUUUGGAGCGGCCGAUGUCAGAUUAGCUAGUUGGUGGGGUAAAGGCCUACCAAGGCGACGAUCUGUAGCUGGUCUGAGAGGACGACCAGCCACACUGGGACUGAGACACGGCCCAGACUCCUACGGGAGGCAGCAGUGGGGAAUUUUGGACAAUGGGCGCAAGCCUGAUCCAGCCAUGCCGCGUGCGGGAAGAAGGCCUUCGGGUUGUAAACCGCUUUUGUCAGGGAAGAAACGCUCUGGGCUAAUACCCUGGGGUAAUGACGGUACCUGAAGAAUAAGCACCGGCUAACUACGUG